rnacentral:rRNA from 1 species
UACGAAGGGGGCUAGCGUUGCUCGGAAUCACUGGGCGUAAAGCGCACGUAGGCGGAUCUUUAAGUCAGGGGUGAAAUCCUGGAGCUCAACUCCAGAACUGCCUUUGAUACUGGGGAUCUCGAGUCCGGAAGAGGUAAGUGGAAUUCCGAGUGUAGAGGUGAAAUUCGUAGAUAUUCGGAAGAACACCAGUGGCGAAGGCGACUUACUGGACACAUAUUGACGCUGAGGUGCGAAAGCGUGGGGAGCAAACAGG